rnacentral:hammerhead_ribozyme from 1 species
AUACAGCUGAUGAGUUCCAUAUAGGACGAAACACGGGUCCUGGAU